rnacentral:rRNA from 1 species
CUACGGAGGGUCCGAGCGUUAUCCGGAAUCAUUGGGUUUAAAGGGUCCGUAGGCGGGAAUCUAAGUCAGUGGUGAAAUCUUGCAGCUCAACUGUAAAAUUGCCAUUGAUACUGGAUUUCUUGAAUUAGUGUGGAGUGGUUAGAAUGUGUAGUGUAGCGGUGAAAUGCAUAGAUAUUACACAGAAUACCAAUUGCGAAGGCAGAUCACUAACACUAUAUUGACGCUGAGGGACGAAAGCGUGGGGAGCGAACAGGAUUAGAAACCCCAGUAGUCC